GAAUAUACAUGUUGGACUUGGACUUGACUUAGGAGAAAACGCGAUAAUGAUCGGCAUAUGCUUAAACUGCCUGAUUUAGCUCUAGGAGCUGUUAUAGAAUUGUACUGUCGCAGUAUCCUUGAGACGAGUACUCCAGGUAGUUUAGAUUACAUUUACACUCGUGCUGGUACGCCGAGUGGAUUUAUACAGGGUCGUUUGGACUGUUCCGGACUGUAGGGUGCCGUUGAGGUUGACGGUGGACCCGUAUCGCCUUUUUGGCGUCUGAUUGUGCCGAGAGCACAUUACCUGUUGGUUGUUUGACCAGUUAGAGUCGAUUUCUUGACUUUGGCUUUUCAGAGCCUGUUUGAGCUCGACAGAGAUACGCUGCAUACUCGGUUGGGUAGCGCCCACGAGUGCCACUCCGGAGUCAGGCUUUGUGCUUUCGCGUUGGUGUU
rnacentral:lncRNA from 1 species